rnacentral:rRNA from 1 species
UACAGAGGUCCCGAGCGUUGUUCGGAUUCACUGGGCGUAAAGGGUGCGUAGGUGGUUGGGUAAGUUUGAUGUGAAAGCUCAGGGCUUAACCCUGAAAUGGCAUUGAAUACUACUUAACUGGAGGUUUGGAGGGGGGGACUGGAAUUCUUGGUGUAGCAGUGAAAUCGUAGAUAUCAAGAGGAACACCAGUGGCGAAGGCGAGUCCCUGGACAACACCUGACACUGAGGCACGAAAGCUAGGGGGAGCAAACA